rnacentral:rRNA from 1 species
UACGGAGGGUGCAAGCGUUAUCCGGAUUCACUGGGUUUAAAGGGUGCGUAGGCGGGCAGGUAAGUCCGUGGUGAAAUCUCUGAGCUUAACUCAGAAACUGCCAUGGAUACUAUUUGUCUUGAAUAUUGUGGAGGUAAGCGGAAUAUGUCAUGUAGCGGUGAAAUGCUUAGAUAUGACAUAGAACACCAAUUGCGAAGGCAGCUUACUACGCAGUUUAUUGACGCUGAGGCACGAAAGCGUGGGGAUCAAACAGG